rnacentral:rRNA from 1 species
UACGUAGGGUGCAAGCGUUAAUCGGAAUUACUGGGCGUAAAGCGUGCGCAGGCGGUUUUGUAAGUCUGUCGUGAAAUCCCCGGGCUCAACCUGGGAAUGGCGAUGGAGACUGCAAGGCUAGAGUUUGGCAGAGGGGGGGUAGAAUUCCACGUGUAGCAGUGAAAUGCGUAGAGAUGUGGAGGAACACCGAUGGCGAAGGCAGCCCCCCUGGGUCAAGAUUGACGCUCAUGCACGAAAGCGUGGGGAGCAAACCGG